rnacentral:rRNA from 1 species
AGUGAACGCUGGCGGUAGGCCUAACACAUGCAAGUCGAACGGCAGCACAGUAAGAGCUUGCUCUUACGGGUGGCGAGUGGCGGACGGGUGAGGAAUACAUCGGAAUCUACUUUUUCGUGGGGGAUAACGUAGGGAAACUUACGCUAAUACCGCAUACGACCUACGGGUGAAAGCAGGGGAUCUUCGGACCUUGCGCGAUUGAAUGAGCCGAUGUCGGAUUAGCUAGUUGGCGGGGUAAAGGCCCACCAAGGCGACGAUCCGUAGCUGGUCUGAGAGGAUGAUCAGCCACACUGGAACUGAGACACGGUCCAGACUCCUACGGGAGGCAGCAGUGGGGAAUAUUGGACAAUGGGCGCAAGCCUGAUCCAGCCAUACCGCGUGGGUGAAGAAGGCCUUCGGGUUGUAAAGCCCUUUUGUUGGGAAAGAAAAGCAGCAGGUUAAUACCCCGCUGCUCUAACGGUACCCAAAGAAUAAGCACCGGCUAACUUCGUG